UACAGAAGGUGCGAGCGUUAAUCGGAAUUACUGGGCGUAAAGGGUGCGUAGGUGGUUUUGUAAGUUAAGUGUGAAAGUCCUGGGCUCAACCUGGGAACUGCGCUUGAUACGGCAGAGCUAGAGGAUGGAAGAGGGUCGCGGAAUUCCCAGUGUAGAGGUGAAAUUCGUAGAUAUUGGGAAGAACACCGGUGGCGAAGGCGGCGACCUGGUCCAUUACUGACGCUGAGGCGCGACAGCGUGGGGAGCAAACAGG
rnacentral:rRNA from 1 species